rnacentral:lncRNA from 1 species
UCAAUUACAGAAAUGAUAGCGCUUGUACUUCCCUACAUACUUGUAAAGUUAAAAAGUCAAGUUGGAAAAUGAUGAAGUAUGUUCCCAUCACAAACCUGUGCAUCGUAACUCGACACCUCAGCAGUCAACUGAGCAGUAGCUUGGGCACUGCAGAUCACCGCCUCCAGCAGAGCUGACUUGUUGGUGAACCUAACAGGAGCAGCUAAAAAUACAGUUUCAUGUAAGAAGGCAUUAAUGAAUUGCUUCACAGAAUUACAGUAAAUGCCAACGGCAUUCAAUUACAAACAAAGCUAAGAACAUUUCUAUACAGUAAACCAAACUACUAAUAUUUAUUUAUAUGAUUUAGAGCAUUUUUUUCUAUUGGUACUGAAUUUCUUUGGCUAUGAGUACACACCCUUUACAGAUAGGAUGCAACUGCUUUGCGAUCCACCACCCACAAACUUGACCUCAGUUCCGUUCAUAUCCAUGGUCACAUCACGGAUGAGCAGAGUGUGUGUGCUCUUGGACUUGGUGAUGAGGUAGUCGGCUCCGCUGCGCAGGAGGCGGCCAUUUAGAGACCAGAAGCCGGAACAAACAGCAGACAGCUCCAAGGAGAUAGAAAACUCCUCACCAGAGAAUGCAGUGCUGUUGAUCAGGCCUUUCCUGAUUUCUGCACUGGGUUCUGGAGACAACAGGCAAACAAGGACAUGAAGAAAUAAUGGCUGAAUACAUACAACAACAGCACAUAGUCAUCAAUGACAAAUGACCCAGAGGCAUCAGUUUUACCUAGGUAGAAGCUUCCAGGCACCUCCAGGUAGGGACUCUGGCCAAAGUCAUUCAUAGCAGAGAUACGGAACUGGUAGGUGGAUUCUUCUGUGGCGCUGCAGAAGUUGAUCUCUGUUGAUAUGAUGGUUUCUCCAGCGUUGCACCUCUGCCAUGUCUGAGUGCCAACCUUCUUCCUCUCCACGAUGUAGCCCUUGAUGGGGACAGGGCGGUCGCUGUCAGGAGGAGACCACCGAAUGGUGACGGAUGAGUCAGUCUUGUUCAGCACCACUGCAUCAACUGGGGGAUCGGGAGGAUGCUUCCUUGCCGCUAGUGACAGAGAAAUCGCGUGGAAGUCUUGCAGUCUCCAGCCACAAACGCCACUUCUCCUGAGUCAUCUGCCUGGCAAUCUCUAAUCGUGAGUGUGUACUGUCUGAGCACGCAGGCGAUCGAAAUACGGGAAUCUUCCUUCAGCUUCUCGCUAUUGCGGGUCCAGUAGACAUCUGGGAAAGGAUGCUCCAGCUCCACACAGAAGAUGACAGUGUCACUGACAGGGACCACUGUCCUCCGGGGAAGCUUCUUAGUAAUGUUGCCUGGGAUAUGAGAAGCAGUGGACGUUACAUAAAGGAACAUUCGGUGGCAUUGUAGACACAUUGACAAGCCGUUCUUAAUUUCCCCAACUUUUAUCAGUAUCUUAUGAAGGACAUAUUAAAUAUCUCGUUGUAACACAAAACGUUUAACAAGAACUAAAGACAGAAAAAAAAGUCUCAAGCAUACCCAGGACAGUGAGCUCAGCCACAGUGCGACUGCCCUCUUUCAUCUCGCAGAUGUAAACACCAUCGUCGUUGGUGGUGACAUUGUGUAUGGUGAGACGACGCAGGGUGCCUUCCUGCUCCAUGAAAUACUUGGUACUUUGAUCCAGCCUCGUUUCCUCCAUGAACCAGUUGGCGUGGGUGGCACUAACAGGCACCUCGCACAUCAGGGUGGCUGACGUUUUCUCUUGUACCUCCACAUCCUGCAGCUUCCUCCUGAAUGGCACUUUAGGCUCUGACACAAUGAAAAAUAACAGAAUAUUUAGGUUGUGCAGCCAUGUUGAUGGUUUUGCUUAUCAGUCUGUCAAAUACAAAAAGUAAAUCA